GGAGCCUUAGCUCAGUUGGUAGAGCAAUCGACUCAUAACCGAACGGUCACAGGUUCGAAACCUGUAGGCUCCA
rnacentral:tRNA from 1 species